UACGUAGGGUGCAGGCGUUAAUCGGAAUUACUGGGCGUAAAGCGUGCGCAGGCGGUUUCUUAAGCCAGAUGUGAAAGCCCCGGGCUUAACCUGGGAACUGCGUUUGAAACUGGGAGACUUGAGUGUGGCAGAGGGGGGUGGAAUUCCACGUGUAGCAGUGAAAUGCGUAGAUAUCGGGAGGAACACCAGUGGCGAAGGCGACUACCUGGCCUGUUCUUGACGCUGAGGCGCGAAAGCUAGGGGAGCAAACGGG
rnacentral:rRNA from 1 species